rnacentral:tRNA from 1 species
CUGCCUGUGGCCUAGUGGACAAGGUUACAGUCUUGGGAACACAGCGUUGUUGGUUCAAGCCCAGCUAGGAACA